UUGGAGGGCAAGUCUGGUGCCAGCAGCCGCGGUAAUUCCAGCUCCAAUAGCGUAUAUUAAAGUUGUUGCAGUUAAAAAGCUCGUAGUUGAAUUUCGGGGUUUAUCCUUUGGUCGGGCUUUAGGGUCUGUACUGGCGUGAUGAAUUCCUACCUUCUGAAUAACCAGCAUGUCAUUAAUUUGGUGCGCCGGGGAAGCAGAACUGUUACCUUGAAAAAAUUAGAGUGCUUAAAGCAGGCUAUUGCCUGAAUACAUUAGCAUGGAAUAAUGAAAUAGGACGGCAUGGUUCUAUUUUGUUGGUUUCUAGGAUCACCGUAAUGAUUAAUAGGGAUAGUUGGGGGCAUUAGUAUUCAAUUGUCAGAGGUGAAAUUCUUGGAUUUAUUGAAGACUAACUUCUGCGAAAGCAUUUGCCAAGGAUGUUUUCAUUAAUCAAGAACGAAAGUUAGGGGAUCGAAGACGACCAGGUACCGUCGUAGUCUUAACCAUAAACUAUGCCGACUAGGGAUCGGACGAUGUUAAUUUUUUAAUGUACUCGUUCGGCGCCGUUACGGGAAA
rnacentral:rRNA from 1 species